rnacentral:rRNA from 51 species
CCGUAGGUGAACCUGCGGAGGGAUCAUUA